rnacentral:rRNA from 1 species
UACGUAGGGACCAAGCGUUGUUCGGAAUUACUGGGCGUAAAGGGCGCGUAGGCGGCCGCCUAAGUCAGACGUGAAAUCCCUCGGCUCAACCGGGGAACUGCGUCUGAUACUGGGUGGCUUGAAUCCGGGAGAGGAAUGCGGAAUUCCAGGUGUAGCGGUGAAAUGCGUAGAUAUCUGGAGGAACACCGGUGGCGAAGGCGGCAUUCUGGACCGGCAUUGACGCUGAGGCGCGAAAGCCAGGGGAGCAAACGGG